rnacentral:rRNA from 1 species
GAUAAACGCUGGCGGCGCACAUAAGACAUGCAAGUCGAACGGACUUAACUCAUUCUUUUAGAUUGAGAGCGGUUAGUGGCGGACUGGUGAGUAACAUGUAAGCAAUCUGCCUAUUAGAGGGGAAUAACAGUGAGAAACGACUGCUAAUACCGCAUAAGACCACAGAGCCGCAUGGCUCAGGGGUCAAAGGAGAAAUCCGCUGAAGGAUGGCCUCGCGUCCGAUUAGCUAGAUGGCGGGGUAACGGCCCACCAUGGCGACGGUCGGUAGCCGGACUGAGAGGUUGAUCGGCCACAUUGGGACUGAGACACGGCCCAG